AAGGCUUCAGUACGACCCAGUCAGAACUAUAAGUCUCAAAGCCCCGACGAGUAGGGUGGCGUGCCGGUGAGCGUUGAAGGCCAAGACGUGAGUCAGGCUGGAGCCGCCGGUAGUGCAGAUCUUGGUGGUAGUAGCAAGUACUCUGGUGAACCAACCUGGAGCUGUGAGGUCUGGAUUAGGGUUCCAUGUCAACAGUGAUUGAACAUGGGUGAGUCGAUCCUAAGCCAACUGUGAAAGCAGUGACAUCCCGACAAAGGUGCAUUAAGGGGGUGUGCCCGGCGCUUGCGAACACACUCUCGCCUCCUCUCGAUACAGAACGUGACACAAACCUCACGAUUCUAAUGGAUACGCUCAAGGGCGUUGAUGGGAAGCGAGACGAAAGAGAGGUGGCUUGGGCGAGGUGUGGAGCGUUUGAGAUGCGCACACUUAUGCUCUCUGCGUUGGUUCUAUGUCUGGCGAAAGGGAAUGGGGACUUUGUUCCUUGACCGGUCCCGGCACCCUCGAUAGGCUUUGCCAUUCAAUGGUCCAUGCAAAUGGAACCAGGCCACAGCCGCCGGCAGUCGCCCGAGGAAGAGUUUUCUUUUCUGCUUAACGCACGAGAUCAUCCCUGGAAACAGUUCGGCUGGCGAAAGGGUGCCCCGUUGCGGCAGAGCGCCACGACUGUCGUGCGCGUCUCGGUGUUCCUGCCGGUCCGUGAAGACGUGGUCGAGGGGAUUGCACUUGUAUCAACGAAACGCCCGACAAGUUCGGGACGGACCGUACCCUAUAUCCGCAUCUGGUCUCCAAGGUUCGUAGCCUCUGCAGAGUCAGACACAUGUAGGUAAGGGAAGUCGGCAAACUCGAUCCGUAACUUCGGGAAAAGGAUUGGCUCUGAGGGCCGAGCUGGGCCGGGCCUUGCCUGCAAAGCAGUACCUAUAGUGACCGGAGUUUUAGGAGUGCGAGGGGCUCUAGUAGCUGCCUUCGGGCACGAACGAGUCUACCGCUCCGCUCCAACCACGAACGGCUGUGACGGCAAGGGCUCUGGGCGGGAGCGUUCAAACCGUUGACCCCCAGCUCGUCUGGGUGGUGGCGGUGCUUCGUCUGACCCAUACGGCUCCAGCGGCUAGCGGCUAACUCAGAACUGUCAUGGACCAAGGGAAUCCGACUGUCUAAUUAAAACAAAGCGUCGUGACGGCCCC
rnacentral:rRNA from 1 species